ACACCGUUGGUGAAACGGUAUCAUGCAUCGUUGCCAUUUCGAUGCGGCAAGGGUUCGACUCCCUUACGGUGUA
rnacentral:tRNA from 1 species